GUAUAAUAUAAAUGUACAUUAUAAUAUAAAUGUACAGUCUAAUAUAAAUGUACAGUAUAAUAUAAAUGUAUA